AACACAUGCAAGUCGAACGAAGUUAGAUAUGUGUCUUAUUUAAGAGAAAUGUAACUUAGUGGCGAACGGGUGCGUAAUACGUGGGAAUCUGCCAAACAGUUAGGGACAAAACCUUAAUAAAACUUAUCAGUUCACUGAAAAGAAAAGCAAAAAAAAAUAAGCGCUGUUUGAAGAGCCCACGCAGUAUUAGGUUGUUGGUGAAGUAAAAGCUCACCAAGCCAACGAUGCUUAGCUGGUCUUUUCGGAUGAUCAGCCACACUGGGACUGAGACACGGCCCAGACUCCUACGGGAGGCAGCAGUGGGGAAUUUUGGACAAUGGGCGAAAGCCUGAUCCAGCAAUAUCGCGUGAGUGAAGAAAGGCAGAUUAGCUUGUAAAACUCUGUCGUCGAGUGAGUGAUUAUGACAAGACUCGAAAAGGAAGCCCCGGCCAACUCUGUGCCAGCAGCCGCGGUAAGACAGGGGGGGCUAGUGUUAUUCAGAAUGACUAGGCGUAAAGGGCAUGUAGGCGGUUUCUCAGGCUGAGAGUUAAACCCACUAGCUUAACUAGUGAACUGCUCUCAAUACCAAGAAACUAGAGUAAGAUAGAGGAAAGUGGAAUUUCGUGUGUAGAGAUAAAAUUCACAGAUAUACGAAGGAACGCCAAAAGCGAAGGCAGCUUUCUGGGUCUUUACUGACGCUGAGGUGCGAAAGCACGGGGAGCAAAUAAGAUUAGAUACCUUAGUAGUCCGUGCCGUAAACGAUGAGUAUUCGUCCUUGGUUUUAUGAAGACUUGUAACAGUCGUUUGUAAAUCAGGGGCCCAGCUAACGCGUUAAAUACUCCGCCUGGGGAGUACGGUCGCAAGACUGAAACUCAAAGGAAUAGACGGGGGCCUGCACAAGCGGUGGAGCAUGUGGUUUAAUUCGAUACAACGCGCAAAACCUUACCAGCCCUUGACAUAUAAGUGUGUCUAUUCUUAAUAGGGUAGAACAAAAAGCUUAUACAGGUGCUGCAUGGCUGUCGUCAGCUCGUGUCGUGAGAUGUUGGGUUAAGUCCUAUAACGAGCGCAACCCUCGUUGUGUGUUGCUAAGAGUAGAUUUAAAUAGGUAUUCUGCACUCACACAAUACUGCCUGUGAUAUACAGGAGGAAGGUGGGGAUGACGUCAAGUCCGCAUGGCCCUUAUGGGCUGGGCUACACAUGUGCUACAAUGGUUACUACAAUAGGAAGCAAGGCUGCAAAGCGGAGCGAAUCCAUAAAAGUGACCUUAGUUCGGAUUGUUCUCUGCAACUCGAGAACAUGAAGUUGGAAUCGCUAGUAAUCGCGGAUCAGCACGCCGCGGUGAGUAUGUACCUGGGCCUUGUACUCACCGCCCGUCACACUAUGGGAAUAAACUUCGCCCGAAGCACUUGAUACGCUGUAGGCAUCGUUCUUGAUCUAUCUUGUCUUGACUGUUCUUAUU
rnacentral:rRNA from 1 species